GAUGUUUCUGUGGUGUAGUGGUUAUCACGUUUGCUUUACACGCAAAAGGUCUCCGGUUCGAUCCCGAGCAGGAACAU
rnacentral:tRNA from 1 species